UAGUAAUCACAGGUCAGCAUACUGUGGUGAAUACGUUCCCGGGCCUUGUACACACCGCCCGUCACACCAUGAGAGUUGAGAAUACCCGAAGCCCAUGUCAAAGUGGUCGAAGGUAGGCUUGAUGAUUGGGGUGAAGUCGUAACAAGGUAAC
rnacentral:rRNA from 1 species